rfam:Rhodospirillales bacterium 69-11 SCNpilot_cont_750_bf_scaffold_105, whole genome shotgun sequence.
GCGCCCGUAGCUCAAUUGGAUAGAGCACCAGACUACGGAUCUGGGGGUUAGGAGUUCGAAUCUUCUCGGGCGCG